rnacentral:rRNA from 1 species
AUUGAACGCUGGCGGCAUGCCUUACACAUGCAAGUCGAACGGCAGCGGACCUUCGGGUGCCGGCGAGUGGCGAACGGGUGAGUAAAGUAUCGGAACGUACCUUUCAGUGGGGGAUAACUGUCCGAAAGGACAGCUAAUACCGGCAUAUUCUGUGAGCAGGAAAGCAGGGGAUCGCAAGACCUUGCGCUGAUUGAGCGGCCGAUAUCAGAUUAGCUAGUUGGUGAGGUAAAGGCUCACCAAGGCGACGAUCUGUAGCGGGUCUGAGAGGAUGAUCCGCCACGACUGGAACUGAGACACGGUCCAGACUCCUACGGGAGGCAGCAGUGGGGAAUUUUGGACAAUGGGGGCAACCCUGAUCCAGCCAUGCCGCGUGAGUGAAGAAGGCCUC